AAAAAAAGGAAAAAGAAUAAUCAAAAUAACAAAUACGCUAUGUUGGAUCGAGUAAUGUGCUUUUAGGCAUUUUCUUCAUAAUUUUUUGGCUUCAUUUAACUACUGAUUCGAAGGUUGUGUCUUAAGUUGACAUGGUCACUCAUUCUUGGAAUAUGAUUUGUCGAUGAGUCAACAUUGUUUGGCAAUCCCCCGUAAGAUGGAGAAUAAAUUCUCUACUCUCAUAGUGAAUAUAUGUGAACAAGAACAAUGAACCAGGGAGUCCCUUACUUGUUUAGUAGUCAAACUUUCAUCUUUCUCCUCUAAGGUGCCAAUCAAGCUCAACAUGCUUUAUUUGUUCAUUAAAUACUAGAUUUGUUGUAAUGUCUACUGCAGCCUUAUUAUCACAAGAUAAUAUAAUUGCUUGAGGAUGUUC
rnacentral:lncRNA from 1 species